rnacentral:pre_miRNA from 1 species
UCAUAAGUUCAUGGUUCGACACCAUGGAUCUCCAGGUGGGUCAAGGUUAUAGAGAUACACCAACCUGGAGGACUCCAUGCUGUUGAGCUGUUCACAA